GCCCAGCCGGCUCUGUCAGUACAGCAUGUGACUCUUGAUCUUAGGGUUGUGGGUUCGAGCCCCACGUUGGAUG
rnacentral:tRNA from 1 species